AUUGAACGCUGGCGGCAGGCUUAACACAUGCAAGUCGAGCGGGGGAAGGUAGCUUGCUACCGGACCUAGCGGCGGACGGGUGAGUAAUGCUUAGGAAUCUGCCUAUUAGUGGGGGACAACAUCUCGAAAGGGAUGCUAAUACCGCAUACGUCCUACGGGAGAAAGCAGGGGAUCUUCGGACCUUGCGCUAAUAGAUGAGCCUAAGUCGGAUUAGCUAGUUGGUGGGGUAAAGGCCUACCAAGGCGAGGAUCUGUAGCGGGUCUGAGAGGAUGAUGCGCCACACGGGGACUGAGACACGGCCCAGACUCCUGCGGGAGGCGGCAGUGGGGAAUAUUGGACAAUGGGGGGAACCCUGGACCAGCCAUGCCGCGUGUGGGGAGGAGGCCUUAUGGUUGUAAAGCACUUUAAGCGAGGAGGAGGCUACUCUAGUUAAUACCUAGGGAUAGUGGACGUUACUCGCAGAAUAAGCACCGGCUAACUCUGUGCCAGCCGCCGCCGUAA
rnacentral:rRNA from 1 species